CAUUUGUGGAAGAUUCACAGAUAGGACAAGUGCUAGCAGUGGAUCCACAAGAAGUACAGAGACAGAGAUGCCUACAGGGCAGGAUGAGUACCCUCGAUUCCUCCUUCUUACAUUUCCUGCACAAUCUCCUCUUAUCGUGUCCGUCAUCUAGUUGCUGUCGCAGUGAGACUCAGCAUCCUCUGCAGCCACAGGUGCAACACCAAUGACCAAGUCUCCAUUACCAUCAUUUGAGAGCGCCAGUGCAUUUUCAAGGUGGCUGCGUAGGGCUUUGGCAGUGGCUUCAUUGGUCUGUACCACCUCACGCCAAAAUUGGUUCUCAAUGUUCAUCAACUGAACUUUCUCUUGGAGGUGAGCAUGGAGCUGUUUUAACAUUGACAUUGAAUGACAUGGGAAACUAUGGGUGUUAUCUAGAUUGUGCAGAGGCGAUGUCAAUGCCAUUAUAUACUGAGGUUAUGGUUAAUUUAAUUGGAUUGAAUAUGACUUUUGAUUUAUAAUUACAUUGAAGCGUAUUGUUAGCUAAGCAUGAUAUUUUGCUUUUGGUCGUAACCCUUGGUUUUUGAUGUUAAAGUAGAGUGACUGUUCCAAUUCUUUAUGCAUCUCUUUGUCAGGGUUUGGGAUUUGAUUUCUAUUGCAUGUAUUUCUUUUUGGGACUUAUAAGUAGAGUUGCCACUGUUAAAUUGCUAUGUUGCUCCAGCUCUCAAAAAAGGAAUGUUGGAUUGGGAUCAAGUUUUUGUGAUCCUUUUUGUGGUCCAUAAACUAUAUAUCAGUUACUGCUGAAGAAGUGCUUCAUUUUUUUCUGCAGAGUAAACCUACACGAAUGGUGAACUGUGUGCUCUGUCAAUUUGUGCAGAUAAACCGAGUGAUAGCUGCUGCAGGAGACAAUGCUGGUGAGGAGGAGGGCACAAUGGUGAAGAAAAGCUACGAAACAAAUCAACAGUUGCGGAGAU